CUAGCGACUUCAGAGUUUGAUCCUGGCUCAGGAUGAACGCUGGCGGCGUGCUUAACACAUGCAAGUCGAACGAAGCAAUGCGACGGAAGCCUUCGGGUGGAAGAUGUAUUGACUGAGUGGCGGACGGGUGAGUAACGCGUGGGUAACCUGCCUUACACAGGGGGAUAACAGUUAGAAAUGACUGCUAAUACCGCAUAACCCGCUAGUACCGCAUGGUACAGACGGAAAAGAUUUAUCGGUGUAAGAUGGACCCGCGUCUGAUUAGCCAGUUGGUAGGGUAACGGCCUACCAAGGCGACGAUCAGUAGCCGGCUUGAGAGAGUGAUCGGCCACAUUGGGACUGAGACACGGCCCAA
rnacentral:rRNA from 1 species